rfam:Fukomys damarensis contig114729, whole genome shotgun sequence.
CCAAAGGCUCUUUUCAGAGCCACUUCUGUCCUCCCAGAGAGGCUGU